rnacentral:rRNA from 1 species
GCACGCAUGGUAGGAGAGCGUUCCGUAAGCCUGCGAAGGUGCCUUGUAAAGGGUGCUGGAGGUAUCGGAAGUGCGAAUGCUGACAUGAGUAGCGAUAAAGGGGGUGAAAGGCCCCCUCGCCGUAAGCCCAAGGUUUCCUACGCAACGUUCAUCGGCGUAGGGUGAGUCGGCCCCUAAGGCGAGGCAGAAAUGCGUAGCUGAUGGGAAGCAGGUCAAUAUUCCUGCACCAUUGUUAGAUGCGAUGGGGGGACGGAUCGCGGAAGGUUGUCCGGGUGUUGGAAGUCCCGGUCGCUGCAUUGGAGAAGGCACUUAGGCAAAUCCGGGUGCGCAAUUCAAGGGUGUGGCGCGAGCUCCUUAGGGAGCGAAGCAAUUGGAAGUGGUUCCAAGAAAAGCCUCUAAGCUUCAGUCUAACGAUGACCGUACCGCAAACCGACACAGGUGGGCGAGAUGAGUAUUCUAAGGCGCUUGAGAGAACUCGGGAGAAGGAACUCGGCAAAUUGGUACCGUAACUUCGGGAUAAGGUACGCCCUUGUAGCUUGACUGGCCUGCGCCAGGAGGGUGAAGGGGUUGCAAUAAACUGGUGGCUGCGACUGUUUAAUAAAAACACAGCACUCUGCAAACACGAAAGUGGACGUAUAGGGUGUGACGCCUGCCCGGUGCCGGAAGAUUAAAUGAUGGGGUGCAAGCUCUUGAUUGAAGUCCCGGUAAACGGCGGCCGUAACUAUAACGGUCCUAAGGUAGCGAAAUUCCUUGUCGGGUAAGUUCCGACCUGCACGAAUGGCGUAACGAUGGCCACACUGUCUCCUCCCGAGACUCAGCGAAGUUGAAGUGUUUGUGAUGAUGCAAUCUACCCGCGGCUAGACGGAAAGACCCCAUGAACCUUUACUGUAGCUUUGCAUUGGACUUUGAACCGAUCUGUGUAGGAUAGGUGGGAGGCUAUGAAACCGGAACGCUAGUUUCGGUGGAGCCGUCCUUGAAAUACCACCCUGGUUUGUUUGAGGUUCUAACCUUGGCCCGUGAUCCGGGUCGGGGACAGUGCAUGGUAGGCAGUUUGACUGGGGCGGUCUCCUCCCAAAGCGUAACGGAGGAGUACGAAGGUACGCUAGGUACGGUCGGAAAUCGUGCUGAUAGUGCAAUGGCAUAAGCGUGCUUAACUGCGAGACCGACAAGUCGAGCAGGUGCGAAAGCAGGUCAUAGUGAUCCGGUGGUUCUGUAUGGAAGGGCCAUCGCUCAACGGAUAAAAGGUACUCUGGGGAUAACAGGCUGAUACCGCCCAAGAGUUCAUAUCGACGGCGGUGUUUGGCACCUCGAUGUCGGCUCAUCUCAUCCUGGGGCUGUAGCCGGUCCCAAGGGUAUGGCUGUUCGCCAUUUAAAGAGGUACGUGAGCUGGGUUUAAAACGUCGUGAGACAGUUUGGUCCCUAUCUGCCGUGGGCGUUGGAUAUUUGAAGGGGGCUGCUCCUAGUACGAGAGGACCGGAGUGGACGAACCUCUGGUGUACCGGUUGUCACGCCAGUGGCAUCGCCGGGUAGCUAUGUUCGGAAGAGAUAACCGCUGAAAGCAUCUAAGCGGGAAACUCGCCUUAAGAUGAGAUAUCCCUGGGGACUAGAUCCCCUUGAAGGGUCGUUCGAGACCAGGACGUUGAUAGGUCAGGUGUGUAAGCGCAGUAAUGCGUUCAGCUAACUGAUACUAAUUGCCCGUAAGGCUUGAUCCU